rnacentral:rRNA from 1 species
UACAGAGGGGGCAAGCGUUAUUCGGAAUUAUUGGGCGUAAAGGGCGCGUAGGCGGCUUUGCAAGCGACGGGUGAAAUCCCUCGGCUUAACCCGAGGAACUGCCUGUCGAACUGCUUAGCUUGAGGCCGGGAGAGGCGAGUGGAAUUCCCCAGUGUAGCGGUGAAAUGCGUAGAUAUUGGGAGGAACACCAGUGGCGAAGGCGGCUCGCUGGACCGGUUCUGACGCUGAGACGCGAAAGCGUGGGGAGCGAACAGG